CGUAAGGCGCCGAAUGAGUCAUUAAAAAAUUAACAUCAUCCGAUCCCUAGUCGGCAUAGUUUAUGGUUAAGACUACGACGGUAUCUGAUCGUCUUCGAUCCCCUAACUUUCGUUCUUGAUUAAUGAAAACAUCCUUGGCAAAUGCUUUUCGCAGUAGUUAGUCUUCAAUAAAUCCAAGAAUUUCACCUCUGACAAUUGAAUACUAAUGCCCCCAACUAUCCCUAUUAAUCAUUACGUCGAUCCUAAGAAACCAACAAAAUAGAAUCAAACGUCCUAUUCAUUAUCCAUGCUAAUGUAUUC
rnacentral:rRNA from 1 species